GCGUGUACGUCUGCAGACUGCAAGACGGGGGCGUAACUUGAAGUAGGAGGCGUAACUUGAAGUUGUCCAAAUCACACAGAACCACGUGAGACCUCAAAACGAUAAGUUAUUGGCAAUAUGGCGGCACAGAGUAGAAUAUUGAUUACGUUUUAAGGGAGGCAGGGGUUUUAGGCAGGAUUUGAUUCAUGAUGUGUGUGUAGAUAUUAAUGUUAGGGGACAAUGUGAGAGUGUACGUUCUAGUAGGAAAACGUAUUAUCUGACCCACACUCCGGAACAGAAGAGGGCGGUAAUGCACCAAUAAGCUGGAUGCCAACCGCAGUUAAACUGGAAAGAAGACGAAUAUGACAGCUUGCUGUGAGAGACAACGGGACAGAUGAGACACAUGUGUGUUUAUCUGCUGUAGAGUAACUGAUGAAGGAAUGCUACCAUCAAAGGAUUUGUAUCUUUUGUGGUGGAGCAGGACCUGCAAGGAAAGGUGAAAAAGAGGGAAAACCUGAAACAAAGGAAUAAUGUAGUCGUGCUCCUGGGGUGCAGGCACACGAAAGUUUGGAGCAGACACAGCAGUCAGAUUGUCCUGCACGUGUUCCCCUGCUCUAGCUUCAAGGUUGUGUGGUUCAGAGAGCCGUCAUCAAGGUCUUCCUCAUCCUGUUGCUCAACGACAUCCCCAUUGAGAAGAGUGAGAUUGUGAAGUGCAGCAGCAGAACUGUAUCAGCUGUGUUCAGAUGGCAGGAGGAUGUUGGGUUCACCAUCUCUAAAUACUUGAUUGUUAGAACAAUAAGUUUGAAUGAAGCUUUGUAUCAUGUGUUGUUGACUUGUGCAUGUAUGCAUUUAUUGUGAUGCUAACUUUUAUACAUUAUUUUAAUCAUUUAGACAUAUUUUUGGUUGUCAGUAAAUAAAAUAUAAAUAUUUUAUCCAUUAAUGUAUUAAUUGCUUGACUGAAAAUGGAUGUAUUCACAUCGACUGCAUUUAUUUAACUAGUGUAUAUAUUCAUGUAUAGCUGUGUCACAAAAGAAAAUACAUUUGGCUUCUUUUACUAAAAUGUAAUUUUAAGAAAAAAAAAUUAUAUAAUUAUUGGUUGGCAUUUAUCGUUAUUAUUGCAUGGUAAAUGUUGGGGUGGGCAAAAGAUGCAAUUCAUUAUGGGGUAAUGUUAAUUUUCGAGUAGUAAUACUUAAAUUUUUAGAGUAUCAAAUCAACAGUCUUCUCCAAAGAUGAGAUCUUCAAGCAGCUGAUCGAAGUACCCUUUGUGCAGAUAUUGC